UGCAGGACGACAGCAUCCCCGCUGGGUACCCCC
rnacentral:piRNA from 1 species